rnacentral:miRNA from 1 species
UCUGAAUGUGUGUGCAUGCAUGUGCAGUACACACGUACAUACACACAUACAUAUGCACAUACA